rnacentral:rRNA from 1 species
UCAGGGUAAMCCUGAGAACCCGAAAGUCGAAAGAGGAAAUUUCAUUCGCGUUUCGACUGUCGAAGUUGGAUGUUUGUAUGACGGAUAGCGUUUCGGCGUCGUCCCSUUCUNAUAUUCUUCGUGUCGAUGUCGAACGCGUGCACUUUUCCUCUAGUAGGACGUCGCGAUCCGUUGGGUGUCUGUCUAAGACUCGAGGUGGAGCCCGCGUAAUUUUUAAUUAUGCGGACCCUUGGUGUUCCGACAGACUCACUCGACGGUAUACUAAUGGCGCGGGGCCGCUACUUUAGUUAGCGUUCGGCCCGUAGCAAGCACGUUCUGUGUUUGACGGCGAUCGGACCUGGUGCCGAUUCUGUCCCAGAACGACUGUUGGUUACGGUGUUCUCGAACAGACCUCGUAUGAAACGCCGAUCAGCGACGCUCUAGAU